CAGUCGCCACGGUAAUACGUAGGUGGCAAGCGUUGUCCGGAAUUAUUGGGCGUAAAGCGCGCGCAGGCGGAUAGGUCAGUCUGUCUUAAAAGUUCGGGGCUUAACCCCGUGAUGGGAUGGAAACUGCCAAUCUAGAGUAUCGGAGAGGAAAGUGGAAUUCCUAGUGUAGCGGUGAAAUGCGUAGAUAUUAGGAAGAACACCAGUGGCGAAGGCGACUUUCUGGACGAAAACUGACGCUGAGGCGCGAAAGCCAGGGGAGCGAACGGGAUUAGAGACCCGAGUAGUCCCUGUCUCUUAUACA
rnacentral:rRNA from 1 species